rnacentral:rRNA from 1 species
UGCCAGCCGCCGCGGUAAUACGGAGGGUGCGAGCGUUGUUCGGAAUCAUUGGGCGUAAAGCGCAUGUAGGCGGCCAAGUAAGUCUGAUGUGAAAGCCCGGGGCUCAACCCCGGACGUGCAUUGGAUACUGCUUGGCUAGAGGUCGAAAGGGGGAAGCGGAAUUCCAGGUGUAGGGGUGAAAUCCGUAGAUAUCUGGAGGAACAUCGGAGGCGAAGGCGGCUUCCUGGUUCGAUUCUGACGCUGAGAUGCGAAAGCGUGGGGAGCAAACAGGAUUAGAUA